UGCCCGUCUCCCAGCCCGCAGCGCCCAGAAGGGAAGGUGGCUGAGGGCACCAGAGCCCCCACCGCCACCUCUCUCCCCAAAAUAAACACCAGCCAACCGAGCCCCGAGACGGGAGGGGUGCAGGGCGCGCCGGCACUCACCUCCUCGGGAAUGGCCGGGAUUUACUAGAAGAGGAGGAUGGUGUUCGAGAAGAAGUUGAAAUCCUAGAGGGAGAAAGACGGGAAGCCCAUACUACUUGUGUUAUUUCCAUUAUAACGAACGUCUCCGUGUCAUAAAAAUAAGACUUGAAACCCCGAGGUAGCAAUAGUCAAGCAGAAUUUGAUAGAAAUAGAUUUAGGUAAAGACAAGUUACGAGAAUGAUGCUUGGAUCCUUUUCAUUAAAGGAUUUGGCCUGUUAAUAAAGUGGGUCUAAAUGGAAGUCUAAAAGCUUUUCUUUUUUUGCUUCAUCGUUCAGGAAUAAAAUGUUUAGUCUAUUUUUCGUUUCCCAGAUUCAUUCAACAAAUGUCAGUGGGUCGCUUUCUAUGUUCUAGAGCCUGCACAAGGCAUGGAGCAUUCUAGACAUUUGAAGCAUCCAAACUUGAAUCAUUUUUAUUUUUAAGAAAAUCAUUCAAAAUAUUUUAAAUACUUUUGUCCUGCUCAUAAACAAUAUUCCAAGGAAUUCUUUAUGCCAAAUAUGCAUGAAAACAAGAGAAGAGAGGUAAAUUACCUUUGAGAGGCCCAGUUACAGAAUGGAAUUAGUUAAAGAAACCCAAUUUAUUAUUAAAAACACAUGUAUGUGAAAGGAAAGGGGAAUAUGAAAGGGAAAAAAUCUAAGGAAGGGAGAAAUAGGAGUGAGAAACAGUGGAAGUUACUGUGAGCUCCAAAUGGUGUGCAGUUAAUCACAAAGUAACGUAAACAUCAAGUCAUGAGAAGCUUUAAGUGUACUACCCAUAGGGGGAAAGUCACCAGUGACCUUCUUGUAUUCACCAUGAUUCAAGAGAUAGAAAGCCGUCCUACUGACUUCUGAAGCAGAAUGUCUGUGUAAGGAUAGAGUUACCAUGAGCCCAGGAGCAGACCCUUACUCCCAAGGGCAUUCAUGUAUUCACAGGAAGCUGGGAAACAAAUCUAGAUGAGAAGCGCUACUCCGAACAUUGCUCCAGAGGAUGGCUGAGACACUGUUACGAAGCCUUGCUGACACUGGAUAGUCCCACCCAUCAGCCAGACUUGCCCAGCCAGGUCUGAUCCCACAUGUAUUGGUCAGCUACUCGAAAACAGGUUGGAGCUGCAUGGGUCUGCUUAUACACAGGUCUUUUUCAAAUAGUAAAUACUACAGUACUACAUGAUCCAAGUCUGGUUGAAUCCACAGAUGCAGAAGUGCGGAUACGGAGGAACCGUGUAUACAGCGGACUAACUGUAUAGAAACCUUUCUACGGGAUCUUGCUUCCUACUUCACAGAGAAAAUAGAGGCUUUAAGGCAUGAACUCUUUAGUUUCCCCCAAGUGGGAACUUCUAUGCAUUUUUAUUCAUUCUCAUCACCUUCCCUACUUCGCAGUGUGAAGUGCCACUCCUCAUUUACGCAUCGACACUGCUGGCUGUCUCCUUUUUCUCAAAAAUCUCUAUUGCAGGCUUCCCUGGUGGCACAGUGGUUAAGAAUCCGCCUGCCGAUGCAGGGGACAUGGGUUUGAGCCCUGGGCCGGGAAGACCCCACAUGUCGCGGAGCAACUAAGCCCAUGCGCCACAACUACUGAGCCCAUGUGCCACAACUUCUGAAGCCUGCGUGCCUAGAGCCCGUGCUCCAUAACAAGAGAAGCCACCGCAGUGAGAAGCCUGUGCACCACAGUGAAGAGUGGCUCCCCCUCACCUCAACCAGAGAAAAGCCCACGCGUAGCAACAAAGACCCAACG